rnacentral:tRNA from 1 species
CCCCCAGUAGCUCAGUGGAAGAGCAUCGGCUUUCUAAUCCGUUGGUCGCACGUUCGAAUCGUGCCUGGGGGA